AUGCCGGUAUUGCCCCCGUUCCUUCUCUGUUUUGGUCUUGCUUUUAGUUCUUGUGCUUUAGGGGCAAUGGUGGUUGCAUCUCUAGAUUUUUGGCUAAAUCUAGGCUUGAGUUGGUUGGAGAAGGCAACUAGAUCAUCUAGAUUGAUGUUUGGUGGGAUUAUUUUUGAAUUUGGUAGGCCGGUAGUGCCGGAUCUGUCCACGGUAGUAGGAAACCACUGUUUCACCGCCUCGCGCUUUGAAACUGUUGUGUAUCCGCCUCAAGACGUACUACCGCUCCCUUUGGAGCGGUACUACCGCUUGACCUAG
rnacentral:rRNA from 1 species